CGAACGCUGGCGGCGUGCUUAACACAUGCAAGUCACGGGGGCUCCGCAAGGGGCAACCGGCGAACGGGUGCGUAACACGUGACCAACCUGCCCUCGUGUGGGGGAUAGCCGGGCUAACGCCCGGGUAAUACCGCAUACGGUCGCUGAGCGGAGUCGCUUGGCGAAGAAAGCUCCGGCGCACGGGGAGGGGGUCGCGGCCUAUCAGCUAGUUGGUGCGGUAACGGCGCACCAAGGCGACGACGGGUAGCUGGUCUGAGAGGAUGGCCAGCCACAUUGGGACUGAGAGACGGCCCAGACUCCUACGGGAGGCAGCAGUGGGGAAUCUUGCGCAAUGGCCGAAAGGCUGACGCAGCGACGCCGCGUGUGGGAGGACGCCUUUCGGGGUGUAAACCACUGUUGCCCGGGACGAACACGGUUCUUUGGAACCGCUGACGGUACCGGGUGAGGAAGCACCGGCUAACUCCGUGCCAGCAGCCGCGGUAAUACGGAGGGUGCGAGCGUUGUCCGGAAUCAUUGGGCGUAAAGGGCGCGUAGGCGGCCCGGUCAGUCCGUGGUGAAAGCGCGGGGCUCAACCCCGCGUCGGCCAUGGAUACUGCGGGGCUGGAGCACUGUAGAGGCAGGCGGAAUUCCGGGUGUAGCGGUGGAAUGCGUAGAGAUCCGGAAGAACACCGGUGGCGAAGGCGGCCUGCUGGGCAGUGGCUGACGCUGAGGCGCGACAGC
rnacentral:rRNA from 1 species